CUCCUGGUAGCCAAGUUGGUUUAAGGCGCAAGACUGUAAUAUGAUUUUCACUUUUCAAGUAGAAAAAUCUAAAGUAAUCUUGAGAUCGGGCGUUCGACUCGCCCCCAGGAGA
rnacentral:tRNA from 1 species